rnacentral:tRNA from 1 species
GAUGAAGUGACUGAAUUAAAAGUGAUAAAUUGUAAAUUUAUUUAUGAAUAUUAUAUAUAUUCCUUUAUUA